AGGUUUGAACAAGUCAGAAGACACCUGGGGACUAGAUGGUGGAAUAAACAGACUCUUCAGCACUAAUGAUUCUGCAAUAGCAUGAGAUAUGCUGGUGGAAUGCGGCUGGGACAAUGUUGAAUUUGGAAAAGGAUCCAUUCUUGUCAGGAGUGAUUCACAGGUUUUCAUUUUCUGCCUGGGAAGAGCCCACAGCCCAUGGGAAGAGCCCACAGCCCAUAUUCUGAAGAAGGUGUUAUGAACUAGACCAGACAUAAAAGUGGUCUCAGCAAGCAGUGGAAAAGAUACACAUGAGAUAAGGAUACCUGGUGGUACACAUCGAGGCAGCUUCCUGCUACCUCCUCAAUUCUCGUGGAAGCACACCAGAAGCUAUGUCUCAGCAGCCUGUGCAGAGUGAAGAAUCCUCCGAGUCAGAACACAUAAGCUGCUGAUGCUGUGGUGAGAUGAGCCAUUUGGAGGUGAGACUGAAAAUCUGUCAGAGGAGUUUUCUCUGAUUUUCAUCUUUUUCUCAUGAGCAGAAGUAGAAAUUUUAGAGGAAGUUUCAGGCUUUUUUUCUUUCCAAGAUGUGAAACAUGUUGGAGAAUGAAUGACAGAUGCUUUUAAAUACAAAAAAUCUUUCUCAGAAGCUUCAGGAAAAUAAGCUGGAAGCAUCAAAGUGGAAUUUCCUGCAGCAGAUGAGAGUUGAACAGUGGCUUAUUUUAGUUUCCACAGAGUCCACUCUUCUUGGGUCAGAAGAAGUGGUGAGCCUGGCAUUCAGAGAGAUGAGUCUGCUUCUAACAUCACACCAACACCACCAGGGAAGACAGUUGGGCCAAGGAGGUGUAAACGAAGAAAGGAAACCGGCUGUGAAUUGCUUUCUUUCAGCACUGCUUUCAGAUACUCAGCUGUUAAGAAGCAGAGUUGCCAUUCUGUCUAAGACAACCGUCUUUGCUAAAUUAUUCUGGACUGGGUCACAUGGGCCAUUCACAGGUG